GCCAGUGACACUACUCAAAUAACAGUCAGAGAUCAUGGCAUUAUGUAUACCAUUGUCGGCAUCAUCACCAUCAUCAUCAUCAUCAUCAUCACCACUGUCAUCUGUCUCCAAAGAAAUAAGUGCCAAGCUUUAAGGUGGAUUUGGAAAGCAGUGCCAAAGAAUGAAACCUCAACUGUUUAGGAGGUCACUGAUGCCUCCAGAACAAGAACUAUUAAUGAUAACACUUAAGGAAAAUAAAAAUUAAAUUCUUGCUCACU